UGCAAGGGUUAGAAGGGAAUGGGGUGCGAGACCUUCUGCAGCUAAAAUCCAAAUGUUUUGCAUGGCUUAUGCAGGAGAAUGCAGCAAGAAACUGGUGGACAUUUGUUCACAGUUGAACUGGAAGUGUUGGAAGCCAGGUCUCUUUGGCUGAGGGUGGGAGGGCACCUCCAUGGAGCUGGCAACUUGCAGGCUUUCAGCAGGGAGAAAAAGAGAACAGGAAUACCAGCAACUCCAGCACAGGACAAGUUUUGCCUGCAUUUAGAAAGCACUGCGGACCUGGUUCCUCUCACAGUCCUCCCUUAAGCAUUGACUACGGAAUAAAUAGAGGAUGUUUUCCUUCCCUGAAUAUCUAUUUCCUUCCUAAAUAAACCAUGGGUGAGUCUC